rnacentral:rRNA from 1 species
UACGAAGGUGGCAAGCGUUACUCGGAAUUACUAGGCGUAAAGGGCAGGUAGGUGGUCUGAUAAGUCUGUUGUGGAAGCUCCCGGCUCAACUGGGAGAGGUCAACGGAAACUGUCAGGCUUGAGUAUAGGAGAGGUUACUGGAAUUCCCGGUGUAGCGGUGAAAUGCGCAGAUAUCGGGAGGAACACCGGUGGCGAAGGCGGUUCUCUGGGCCUUACCUGACGCUGAGGAGCGAAAGCGUGGGGAGCGAACAGGAUUGAGAUACCCGUUGUAG